AUCGAAGUCUGAUUGGCUUUGUGCAUCCGUCGCUCACGGUUAGGCUCAAUAGCCUCUGCAAAAGGGAGGAGCUUGGGUGUCGGGCCCAGGAUACCGCCCCCAAAAGAAAUACCAUGGUGCGAUUGGUGGAAACAACAGGGGUAGAGAGCGGAGCGUAUCAGCGGUGAGGGGGGCAGGUACUUCCGCUAGGAUUGUCCAAUCACAGGGGUUUGGCAGUUGCUAUAAAAGUUCGAACCUCGCAGGUUCUCCUCCUCUCGGAUGAAGUACGACGUUGCGGUGUUUUAUUGUGCGGCUUCUGUGCUCCGCGGGCCGGGGGCGGACUUGGGCGCCGAGUGGAACUAAGGGCGUCGGCCAACCCCACAGGCCGGCCUAGCCUCGAGGUCCAACUUCGGCCUGAGGUUCACCUUGGUCCUCAGCGUUGUACACGUUGCCCCCAGUUCCGCCGAGGAAGUCCUAAACGUCCAGACCUACGUCUCUCUAGAGGGCCAUCGGUGACCCGGCUGGAGACCUUGAACGUAAGUCAGCAUCAGUCCAGGGGCCUCGUGGUAAGGCGGGAGUCCAUGUUUGUGUCUGAAGCGCUUAGUAAUAAAGCGAAGGUGGUGAGUGGAUGGGA